rnacentral:rRNA from 1 species
UACGGAGGGUGCAAGCGUUAAUCGGAAUUACUGGGCGUAAAGCGUGCGUAGGUGGUUUGAUAAGUUAUCUGUGAAAUCCCCGGGCUCAACCUGGGCAGGUCAGAUAAUACUGUUGAACUCGAGUAUGGGAGAGGGUAGUGGAAUUUCCGGUGUAGCGGUGAAAUGCGUAGAGAUCGGAAGGAACACCAGUGGCGAAGGCGGCUACCUGGCCUAAUACUGACACUGAGGCACGAAAGCGUGGGGAGCAAACAGG